rnacentral:rRNA from 1 species
UACGAAGGGGGCUAGCGUUGCUCGGAAUUACUGGGCGUAAAGGGCGCGUAGGCGGCACUGUUAGUCAGGCGUGAAAGUCCUGGGCUCAACCUGGGAACUGCGCUUGAUACGGCAGAGCUAGAGGAUGGAAGAGGCUCGCGGAAUUCCCAGUGUAGAGGUGAAAUUCGUAGAUAUUGGGAAGAACACCGGUGGCGAAGGCGGCGAGCUGGUCCAUUACUGACGCUGAGAAGCGAAAGCAUGGGGAGCGAACAGG